GCUCGCUGGACGGACACCCACCAACAGCACUCGCAGCGCAGGAGCCGGCUGGGGGGCUGGAAGCGCACCCCGGCCCAGGCCGGCUUUGCGGCCUCACCUCGGCGCGGGUACCCAGACAGCUGGAGAGUCAGCUACCUCCCGCUUCCAGUGGGGCCACCCUCACACCCUGUCAGAAAAGUUGUCUCGGUUGCCUGGCCUGAGGAGGCCUCUCCUCGGGUUUGCCUUAGUUACCUGGCGCCUUAGCCUUGACCGGAAAGAGCCUUGGGGUGCGCGGAAGGGAGAAGUGAUGGAAAGUCCUGUAACGAACGAGGCCAGGUGGGUCCGCGCGUAGGCCCUGUGUCGGGGUGGCCUGAGGUGGCCUUGAGCUGGAAUGUAGGCUCUUCGGACUGUCACGUGUUUCCCUGGGACUUACCUCAGGGCCUGCUACAAGUUUACGGGAACGACAGCUAGCAAGUAUUGAACAUUUAUUAUGUACCUGGCACUGUUCCAAAUGCUUUCUCUAUAUUAACUCCUUGAACCCUCCUAAGGACCUAUGAAGUAGGUGGUAUAAAUACCACCCUUUUGCAGACCAGAACCUAAGCCCUAAUACAAUUGGCCCAAUGUCCCGCCGGUAGUAAAUGGCAGAGUCGAGAUUUCAACCCUCCACGCCACCAACUAUAGGACUAUAUUCUUCGGUCGGCUUGAAUCCCCUCCGUGGAAAAUCUAGCCAUGGAAGGUGGAAUUGAUUGUUGGAAACAGCCUAACGCACUGCUCUAGAAACAUGACAGUCCCAGCCUACAGAUAACAGUUGCUUGAAUGGAAAACUGGAAGAAAGACAAGGAGGUACUCUAAUAAGAAGACAAAGGAAGGGCUCUCCUGUUCUCAAUUCUUGGCCAAGUCCAGCAAGACUCAUUCAGGAACUGCCCAAAUCUACAUCAGCCUUUGAUAAUGCACACUAGACCUAAAGACUAUCAUAACAUGGGCAAAGAAGAGAAAUCAAUCCUAGCUGGCGUUCUGGAAAAAGAGAAAGAAUG